rnacentral:rRNA from 1 species
UACGUAGGUGGCAAGCGUUGUCCGGAUUUACUGGGCGUAAAGAGCGCGCAGGCGGUCGUUCAAGUCGCGUGUGAAAGCCCCCCGGCUCAACUGGGGAGGGUCACGCGAUACUGAUCGACUCGAAGGCAGGAGAGGGUAGUGGAAUUCCCGGUGUAGUGGUGAAAUGCGUAGAUAUCGGGAGGAACACCAGUGGCGAAGGCGACUACCUGGCCUGUUCUUGACGCUGAGGCGCGAAAGCUAGGGGAGCAAACGGGGAUUAAGAAACC